rnacentral:rRNA from 1 species
UGAAUACGAGACGCUAAGGCGUCGAAGUAGUGUAUGUCAUACUUCCAAGAAAAGCUUGCACUGUCAUAGAUAAAAAACGCCUGUACCAUAACCGACACAGGUGGGUAGGUAGAGUAUACUAAGGGGCGCGAGAUAACUCUCUCUAAGGAACUCGGCAAAAUAACUCCGUAACUUCGGGAGAAGGAGUGCCUUAUUAUUAAGGCUGCAAUAACAAGAUCCAAGCAACUGUUUAUCAAAAACACAGGUCUCCGCUAAGUCGUAAGACGAUGUAUGGGGGCUGACGCCUGCCCAGUGCCAGAAGGUUAAAGAAGUUGGUUAGCAUUUGCGAAGCUGAUAACUGAAGCCCUGGUGAACGGCGGCCGUAACUAUAACGGUCCUAAGGUAGCGAAAUUCCUUGUCGGGUAAGUUCCGACCCGCACGAAAGGCGUAAUGAUUUGGAUACUGUCUCGGAGAGGGGCUCGGUGAAAUAGACUUGUCUGUGAAGAUGCGGACUACCUGCACCAGGACAGAAAGACCCUAUGAAGCUUUACUGUAACUUGAAAUUGAAAUUGGACUUUAUUCGCGCAGCAUAGGUGGGAGGCGUUGAUUAUAAUCUUGUGGGAUUAUUGGAGCCAUCAGUGAGAUACCACUCUUGUAAUGUUAGAUUUCUAACUUUGAAUCAUUAUCUGGUCAAAGAACAGUUUCAGGCGGGCAGUUUGACUGGGGCGGUCGCCUCCUAAACGGUAACGGAGGCGUACAAAGGUUUCCUCUGAACGGUUAGAAAUCGUAUCUAGAGUGUAAAGGCAUAAGGAAGCUUGACUGUGAGACCUACAAGUCGAGCAGGGACGAAAGUCGGUCUUAGUGAUCUGACGGUACUGAGUGGAAAGGCCGUCACUCAACGGAUAAAAGUUACUCUAGGAUAACAGGCUGAUCUCCCCCAAGAGUUCACAUCGACGGGGAGGUUUGGCACCUCGAUGUCGGCUCAUCGCAUCCUGGGGCGGUAGUACGUCCCAAGGGUUGGGCUGUUCGCCCAUGAAAGCGGUACGCGAGCUGGGUUCAGAACGUCGUGAGACAGUUCGGUCCAUAUCCGGUGUAGGCGUUAGAAUAUUGAGAGGAGCCUUCUUUAGUACGAGAGGACCGAGAAGGACAUACCUCUGGUGUACCAGUUAUCGUGCCAACGGUAAACGCUGGGUAGCUAUGUAUGGAGUGGAUAACCGCUGAAAGCAUCUAAGUGGGAAGCCCACCUCAAGAUAAGUAUUCUCAUC